rnacentral:rRNA from 1 species
AGCGAACGCUGGCGGCAGGCCUAACACAUGCAAGUCGAACGAAGUCUUCGGACUUAGUGGCGGACGGGUGAGUAACACGUGGGAACGUACCUUUUGGUUCGGAACAACUCAGGGAAACUUGAGCUAAUACCGGAUGAGCCCUUAGGGGGAAAGAUUUAUCGCCGAAAGAGCGGCCCGCGUUAGAUUAGCUAGUUGGUGAGGUAAAGGCUCACCAAGGCUACGAUCUAUAGCUGGACUGAGAGGAUGAUCAGCAACACUGGGACUGAGACACGGCCCGGACGCUUACGGGUGGCAGCAGUGGGGAAGCUUGCGGAAUGGUCUAAAGCCUGAAGCAGCCAUGCCGCAUGAAUGAUGAAGGUCUUAGGAUUGUAAAAUUCUUUUACCAGGGACGAUAAUGACGGUACCUGGAGAAAAAGCCCCGGCUAACUUCGUGCCAGCAGCCGCGGUAAUAC